CUUCCAUCGAGGCCCCCAACCUUUCCCAAGCCAAUUUACAACUUUGUUUCUAUGAAUCAACUUCGUAUUUUGAUUUUGUACAUUUUCUUUCAAAUCUCCGAGGCUUGAAGAAGAUGUUCCUGUCGCUCCGCGAACUGGAUAUGAUUUUUCCAGAAGAUAUAAGAAAUAGAUUGUCUCCUCCAUUGCCUAAUCUGAAGCAUCUCUAUGCGACCGUAUACCGUGAUCACAAGAGAAAUUCAAAAUUGCAUGAUUUUCUAGUUUGGUGCGCACCUUCUCUUGAGACUAUUGAAGUACAAGAAAAACCUUCUUAUUGUUGGUCUUCUGUUUGAACUGUAUUUGUAAGGUUUUAAUUUUUGAGCUUGGUUGUUUUAGUUUCACUCUGUUUCAUUUGAAUUUAUGACUUGUGUACAAUAUUUUUUUUUCUUUUUUUGUUUUUUGUUUUUUUUUUGUUUUUUUUUUUGUUUUUUUUUGUUUUUUUUUUUUUUUUUUUUGAGGUUUGCUACCUAUGAUUUACAAAUGUUACAAAAAUUUGGACUAAUUUCAAAACCCUAAGAGAAUAUUCCUUUU